UACGGGGGGGGCAAGCGUUGUUCGGAAUUACUGGGCGUAAAGGGCUUGUAGGUGGCCAACUAAGUCAGACGUGAAAUCCCUCGGCUUAACCGGGGAACUGCGUCUGAUACUGGAUGGCUUGAGUGUGGCAGAGGGGGGUGGAAUUCCGCGUGUAGCAGUGAAAUGCGUAGAGAUGCGGAGGAACACCGAUGGCGAAGGCAGCCCCCUGGGCCAACACUGACGCUCAGGCACGAAAGCGUGGGGAGCAAACAGG
rnacentral:rRNA from 1 species